CUCCCAAACCCAAUGUGAACGUUACCAAACUGUUGCCUCGGCGGGAUCUCUGCCCCGGGUGCGUCGCAGCCCCGGACCAAGGCGCCCGCCGGAGGACCAACCUAAAACUCUUAUUGUAUACCCCCUCGCGGGUUUUUUUAUAAUCUGAGCCUUCUCGGCGCCUCUCGUAGGCGUUUCGAAAAUGAAUCAAAACUUUCAACAACGGAUCUCUUGGUUCUGGCAUCGAUGAAGAACGCAGCGAAAUGCGAUAAGUAAUGUGAAUUGCAGAAUUCAGUGAAUCAUCGAAUCUUUGAACGCACAUUGCGCCCGCCAGUAUUCUGGCGGGCAUGCCUGUCCGAGCGUCAUUUCAACCCUCGAACCCCUCCGGGGGGUCGGCGUUGGGGAUCGGCCCUCCCUUAGCGGGGUGGCCGUCUCCGAAAUACAGUGGCGGUCUCGCCGCAGCCUCUCCUGCGCAGUAGUUUGCACACUCGCAUCGGGAGCGCGGCGCGUCCACAGCCGUUAAACACCCAACUUCUGAAAUGUUGACCUCGGAUCAGGUAGGAAUACCCGCUGAACUUAA
rnacentral:rRNA from 1 species